CCCGGCGGCUCCACCAAUAACUCUGCUCAUUAGGCAGUAGGUGAGGGGCCGAAAUAGGAUCGACAGACGUGUAAAGGUGAUGCCUUCGCUCGCAUGAGCUGCGUUAGAAGCUCAACUUGCAAAUAGUUGCUAAUGACAACUUUGCUGAAGGUGAACUCCUCGCUGCGUAAUGCAGUGCGGAAACUAACCGCUUAAACUCCUGGAUGGUUUAGCUCGUCCAGGCGGGGCCCGGAGGCGCCUGGCAACAGAAGCCUCCACU
rnacentral:tmRNA from 2 species